rnacentral:misc_RNA from 1 species
CUUUCACCAAAUGUUGAUGUUGUCAAUGGGAGUAUCUCUGAACAGCUAGCUCAAUCAUCACCAUCUUCUUCUCUUGAUUUUGGUGGGCAGUUUGAUCCUAGCAGUUUCAAGACGCUUUUCGGAGCUCUAAGGGAGAAAGUUAGCUGGCAAGAUGAAGCUGUACAUGUUAUCAGCCAAACAAUAGCUCAUUGCAGGACAGCAAACAAAAGAUGCCAAGGAGCGAGUCUGAGACGGGAUAUAUGGUUCAAUUUCCUUGGACCUGAUAGCUGCGGUAAGAAGAAAAUUGCUGCUGCUCUGGCCAAG